UCCCGCAAGGGACGCUAGUACAGGUGGUGCAUGGCUGUCGUCAGCUCGUGUCGUGAGAUGUUGGGUUAAGUCCCGCAACGAGCGCAACCUUACCCUUAGUGUUUUCCCGAAAGGAUUACCCUCUAAGGGGACUGCCCCGGACAACGGGGAGGAAGGUGGGGAUGACGUCAAGUCCGCAUGCUCCUUACGUCUAGGGCUACACACGUCCUACAAUGGGGUCGACAGUGGGAUGCAAAGCCGCGAGGUGGAGCCAAUCCCCAAACGGCCUCUCAGUUCGGAUAGUAGUCUGCAACUCGACUACUUGAAGUCGGAAUCGCUAGUAAUGGCGGAUCAGCAUGCCGCCGUGAAUACGUUCCCGGGUCUU
rnacentral:rRNA from 1 species